AGAGUUUGAUCCUGGCUCAGGAUGAACGCUAGCUACAGGCUUAACACAUGCAAGUCGAGGGGCAGCAUUUCAGUUUGCUUGCAAACUGGAGAUGGCGACCGGCGCACGGGUGAGUAACACGUAUCCAACCUGCCGAUAACUCGGGGAUAGCCUUUCGAAAGAAAGAUUAAUACCCGAUGGUAUAAUCAGACCGCAUGGUCUUGUUAUUAAAGAAUUUCGGUUAUCGAUGGGGAUGCGUUCCAUUAGGCAGUUGGUGAGGUAACGGCUCACCAAACCUUCGAUGGAUAGGGGUUCUGAGAGGAAGGUCCCCCACAUUGGAACUGAGACACGGUCCAAACUCCUACGGGAGGCAGCAGUGAGGAAUAUUGGUCAAUGGGCGAGAGCCUGAACCAGCCAAGUAGCGUGAAGGAUGACUGCCCUAUGGGUUGUAAACUUCUUUUAUACGGGAAUAAAGUGAGCCACGUGUGGCUUUUUGUAUGUACCGUAUGAAUAAGGAUCGGCUAACUCCGUGCCAGCAGCCGCGGUAAUACGGAGGAUCCGAGCGUUAUCCGGAUUUAUUGGGUUUAAAGGGAGCGUAGAUGGGUUGUUAAGUCAGUUGUGAAAGUUUGCGGCUCAACCGUAAAAUUGCAAUUGAUACUGGCAGUCUUGAGUACAGUUGAGGUAGGCGGAAUUCGUGGUGUAGCGGUGAAAUGCUUAGAUAUCACGAAGAACUCCGAUUGCGAAGGCAGCUUACUAACCUGUAACUGACAUUGAUGCUCGAAAGUGUGGGUAUCAAACAGGAUUAGAUACCCUGGUAGUCCACACGGUAAACGAUGAAUACUCGCUGUAGGCGAUAUACAGUCUGCGGCCAAGCGAAAGCAUUAAGUAUUCCACCUGGGGAGUACGCCGGCAACGGUGAAACUCAAAGGAAUUGACGGGGGCCCGCACAAGCGGAGGAACAUGUGGUUUAAUUCGAUGAUACGCGAGGAACCUUACCCGGGCUUAAAUUGCAACUGACGGAACCGGAAACGGUUCUUUCUUCGGACAGUUGUGAAGGUGCUGCAUGGUUGUCGUCAGCUCGUGCCGUGAGGUGUCGGCU
rnacentral:rRNA from 1 species